AUACAUGCAAGUCGAGCGGACAGAUGGGAGCUUGCUCCCUGAUGUUAGCGGCGGACGGGUGAGUAACACGUGGGUAACCUGCCUGUAAGACUGGGAUAACUCCGGGAAACCGGGGCUAAUACCGGAUGCUUGUUUGAACCGCAUGGUUCAAACAUAAAAGGUGGCUUCGGCUACCACUUACAGAUGGACCCGCGGCGCAUUAGCUAGUUGGUGAGGUAAUGGCUCACCAAGGCAACGAUGCGUAGCCGACCUGAGAGGGUGAUCGGCCACACUGGGACUGAGACACGGCCCAGACUCCUACGGGAGGCAGCAGUAGGGAAUCUUCCGCAAUGGACGAAAGUCUGACGGAGCAACGCCGCGUGAGUGAUGAAGGUUUUCGGAUCGUAAAGCUCUGUUGUUAGGGAAGAACAAGUACCGUUCGAAUAGGGCGGUACCUUGACGGUACCUAACCAGAAAGCCACGGCUAACUACGUGCCAGCAGCCGCGGUAAUACGUAGUGGCAAGCGUUGUCCGGAAUUAUUGGGCGUAAAGGGCUCGCAGGCGGUUUCUUAAGUCUGAUGUGAAAGCCCCCGGCUCAACCGGGGAGGGUCAUUGGAAACUGGGGAACUUGAGUGCAGAAGAGGAGAGU
rnacentral:rRNA from 1 species